CCGAAAUUUUUUUUCUCUUGAUGUCAUCGAUCUAUAUAGACGAAAAUCAGUUGGCCGAAUUCCUCAGUCCGAAAACCACCGCGCAGCAGAGCGGACGUAUGAGAAUCGCGCACCGCAGACUUCGAGUACCGGGCUCUCUAUCUCCUGGAUCCCGUGCUCCAGGUCCGUUACCUGGUGCAACUCGACUUCCAGGACAAGAGCUCCGUAGUUUCUACGCUCCAAGUCCGCUACCUGGUGGAAUUCAACUUCCAGGACAAGCGCUCCGUAGUUUCUGCGCUCAAGGUCAACUACAUGGUGAAACUUAACAUCCAGGACAUGCGCUCCGUGGUUCCUGCGCUACAGGUCCGCUACAUGGUGAAACUUGACUUCAGGGAGAGGACGAGGAGGAUGAGGAGGUUGAGGAAGACGGGGAGAACAAGGAGGAGAUCGUUGGAGGUGAUUUAAGCUGGUUGGCGGUCGUUAGAUUUGUGCACGGUAUAACCCGAGGUGGUUAUCGGUGGUUGUUCGAGGUGGUUGGCGGUGGUUGGAGGUCGUCGGAGGUGGACGAGGGGGAGGACAAGGAUUUUUGCUCGUAUUCGAGGUAUAACCCGGGGUGGUUAGCGGUGGUCGUUGGAG